rnacentral:rRNA from 1 species
GAUCAUGGCUCAGAUUGAACGCUGGCGGCAUGCCUUACACAUGCAAGUCGAACGGCAGCACGGGAGCUUGCUCCUGGUGGCGAGUGGCGAACGGGUGAGUAAUACAUCGGAACGUACCCUGAAGUGGGGGAUAACGUAGCGAAAGUUACGCUAAUACCGCAUAUUCUGUGAGCAGGAAAGAGGGGGAUCGCAAGACCUCUUGCUUUAGGAGCGGCCGAUGUCGGAUUAGCUAGUUGGUGAGGUAAAGGCUCACCAAGGCGACGAUCAGUAGCGGGGUCUGAGAGGAUGAUCCGCCACACUGGGACUGAGACACGGCCCAGACUCCUACGGGAGGCAGCAGUGGGGAAUUUUGGACAAUGGGCGCAAGCCUGAUCCAGCCAUGCCGCGUGAGUGAAGAAGGCCUUCGGGUUGUAAAGCUCUUUCGGUGGGGAAGAAAUUGCUUCGGUUAAUACCUGGAGUAGAUGACGGUACCCGCAUAAGAAGCACCGGCUAACUACGUG